rnacentral:rRNA from 1 species
CCUACGGGUGGCAGCAGUGAGGAAUAUUGGUCAAUGGGCGUAAGCCUGAACCAGCCAAGUCGCGUGAGGGAUGAAGGUUCUAUGGGUCGUAAACCUCUUUUGUCAGGGAAUAAAGUGCGGGACGUGUCCCGUUUUGUAUGUCCCUUAUGAAUAAGGAUCGGCUAACUCCGUGCCAGCCGCCGCGGUAAUACAGAGGAUCCGAGCGUUAUCCGGUUUUAUUGGGUUUAAAGGGUGCGGAGGCGGCGUUUUAAGUCAGCGGGGAAAGUCUGUGGCUCAACCAUGGAACUGCCGUUGAAACUGGGAGGCUUGAGUGGGUUAGAGGAAGGCGGAAUGCGUGGUGUAGCGGUGAAAUGCAUAGAUAUCACGCAGAACCCCGAUUGCGAAGGCAGCCUGCCGAGGCAUGACUGACGCUGAGGCACGAAAGCGUGGGGAUCAAACAGGAUUAGAUACCCCAGUAGUC